GAAGCUGACAAAAAUAAGUCACUAAAUACAUUGCCCCCCAGAAAGUGGCUCCGUAAAAAUUCUUCGGCUGCAGGUAAGAAGAUUGGCAGAAUUGGCAGCGGUUCUCGGCAGUUAGUCACCUGAUGACGUUGAGUAACGAACGCGAAAUUGGACCGGAUUCAAACGACUUGCAGUUGGCGGAGGAGCGUUUCCGAUAACGCGUCUGCAAAAAGGAACUCCCGACUUGAAGGUUCUAGUGGAAGACACUACGGUUUCAUGCUCUACAAAUUGCAUACGGACGAAAUUACUCCACCUUCGGUGCUAGAUGCAUUCACUGAAUCAGUCCCGAGACCGGAUUGCUGCUCUCGGUGAUGGUGUUUUCAUUCAAAUGCUCAGAUUGACGGUUGGAAUUAUUAUAAUCCAGUUCUGCAUAAAUUUGGACCCAAGCCGUAGAACGGUUUUAAAAUUUGAAAAUCCAUGUAUGUACUAAAUCAGAAACUUAUUCGAUCGGUGCAUGACGGGUUUUCCGGUUACGAAACCGUGUGAUGGACUGGCGUUGGCAUCCGCCAUAGAAUCAUGAAAUUUUGUCUUCGCGAUCUAAAUCAGACGUAAAAUGUAUACUGUUCCCUGGUAUUACAUUUACAUUCUGGAAGCUACUGAUAUUAACGAAAAUUGAGCCGGACGAGCAAGAAAUCUGAACCUGUUAGCUGCAGUGAACUGCAAUACAAUUUGGCCCUAUCGGAAACCACUUCAAAAAUCAUGUUGUUCGGAUUUACCGCCACGCCAACAAAUUUUUCUUCUUCCGGAAGGAGAACGACUUUGAUUGCCCUGCAAGACCGCCGUAUUCAAGAACAAGUUAAAUUACAUCGAGGAAUACAACUUAUUUAUAACAUAUUCUCGUGUGCAACCCAAUGUUAUCUAA